rnacentral:lncRNA from 1 species
CCUCUCUCUCUCUCUCUCUCUCUCUUGUUUUUACAAUCUAUGUGUAAUGACUAAUUGGCUGUGUUUUCCCAGCUAUUUUAUGUUUCUCUUGCCCUGGUUACAACGCGUACUAAAGCAGUAUAUCCACAGGGACCUAUAGACAGCCAACACUGCCAAAUGAUACGCAGCAUUCGCCUUUCUCUCUAAGUGUAAAACAUUUACAAGUAAAUUUACAAAUGCAUUAAGAACAUUUCCUCAGUUGACUGUUAGUGUUUAUUUCUUCCCUUUCUCCUCGCGGGAGCAGACACCUUCCAGCCCCUCAACUUUCACACACUGCUCUCCCGUUAUUUGCCUCCUUCCCUCCCUGUCGCCCCUUUCCCUCCUCUCCCUCCUCCUCCUCCUCCUCCUCCUCCUCCUCCUCCUCCUUUUCCAGUUCAGCGGCGCAAAUUUCUGUUUGUGCCAGUGGGGCGGCCUGGCGAGACCGCAAUUGCUCUACCCCACAGAUUGACGAGCCCUCAGAUGCCGAUUUACUGUACAUGGCAGCCACGCUGGAGCCGCGGCACAUCUGGAGUGGAGAUGUUCCAGGAUGAUCCCAGUAGGAAAGGGCCAAAAUUCCCCAUGAAACAUCUUGCCCAGGUCUCAGCCUUCUCACCAGGGGAAGCAGUGAGCAUUACCUCCUUAUGGCUGCUUAGAAACCACUCGAGGUGAAACUCUUUAAGGAGGGGACUCUGCAUGGGAGAGGUGUUGGUCAGCAUGGAAAGACUGAAUUGCAUGUCUCCAAGGUCCAGAAUGACCUUUCUGUGCCUGAAGUCAGGAGCAACAUCAUGGAUCCAGGGAGAAAUGCAGGGAUGGCACACCAUUUUGCAUAAUCUAGGUGACUACUGAGAUGGAUAAAAUGGUUUCUUUGCAGUGAAAUGAUUUAUUUGGAAAAAACUCCACAUGUCUACAUGGAAAGGCUGAUGGAACCAGUCUCAAAAGCAAAGCUGUUUGGCAAACUUCAAGAGAGAUCUUGGCAGAUGACUGAAAUCUAAAGCUUUAAGGGACAGUUGGAUUUUAGCUGAGUUCUUCUGUAAGCCUGCAGGGCUCUGGCUGGCAGACCAUUGCUCAACCUUUUGACUGUCAGGGUGGAGGAUUGAUGGCCUAUCAUUGCAAGAUGGCCCACCAAGUAGUCUACCUUUGAACUAAAGACCUCAGGCCUUCCAGGUUUCAAAACUGGGACACUUGUUUUGAAACUUUUUUGAUGUGUUUUGGUAUUUAUUGGAAAUAUUUUUCUGAAUUACCAAAUCCUGACCCCAAAAAGUGUUCCAUAGGAGUUUUUUUAACAGCUCUAUUCUAGUCUAAGUUUAAUGACCUUGAGGGAAAAAAAAGUUUCUCCAUAAAGGAGAAAUAAAACAGAAUCCAGUGAAUCA